GUACGUGAACCGUUCAGGUGUAAACCUGAGAAACCUAAAAGAUCGAAUGAGGAGAUUCAUCGUCAACUCAUUUUGUAUAUAUACGAGUUAUGAUAUAUAAAUUACUCUUGAGUAUUAUUUUUGUAUACGUACUAGUAUAUUUAUUUGCAAAAUGUUGUCGGCGUGCACUUCUCCUCUAGUAGGACAUCGUGACCCGUUUGGUGUCGGUCUACGACCAAAGAUGUUAGACUUUAAUAUUAUUUAUAUAAUAUUAAAGACUCUUUGUGUUAUUCUGAUCGUCUGCCUAGCGGUAUUCGUACGGUAUUUAGCCGCAUUAUAAUAUUAUGCGUUCAUAUCCGUCACAAGCUAAACUAAUUUUUAGUAAUUAUGGAUUAAUGCCAUCACUAAAAUUAGUCAGUUGUUAGUUGUACGGAAUUCUAGAACUGGCUAUAAAAAAAUAUAUAUAUACCGGUCAACGAUGCUAUUGCUUUGGGUACUUUCAGGACCCGUCUUGAAACACGGACCAAGGAGUCUAACAUGUACGCAAGUCAUUGGGAUUUAUUUAAAAAUUAAACCUAAAGGCGUAAUGAAAGUAAAGAUUAACUUUUUGUUGAUUGAAGGAGGAUAAGUUAUAUUAUAAGAAAUAUAUAAUUUCGCACUCCUGGGGCGUCUCAUUCUCAUUGUGAGAAGAGGUGCACCUAGAGCGUACACGUUGGGACCCGAAAGAUG
rnacentral:rRNA from 1 species